GAUGAAGAACGCAGCGAAAUGCGAUAAGUAGUGUGAAUUGCAGAAUUCAGUGAAUCAUCGAAUCUUUGAACGCACAUUGCGCCCCUUGGUAUUCCAUGGGGCAUGCCUGUUCGAGCGUCAUUUGUACCUUCAAGCUUUGCUUGGUGUUGGGUGUUUGUCUCGCCUUUGCGUGUAGACUCGCCUUAAAAUAAUUGGCAGCCGGCGUAUUGAUUUCGGAGCGCAGUACAUCUCGCGCUUUGCACUCAUAACGACAGCGUCCAAAAGUACAUUUUACACUCUUGACCUCGGAUCAGGUAGGGAUACCAGCUGAACUUAAGCAUAUCAAUAAGCGGAGGA
rnacentral:misc_RNA from 1 species